AUGCUAGGUGAGAGAUUCCACAGUGAAGUUAUAACAAUAUCAGCUUCUUGGCAUACUCUAACUCCAUUUGUUAAACCACUAAGGCAAAAGGCUGCUAAAACUGUUAAUUUUCUGCAACUCUCAGAUGGGGUCAUCAGCCCAAAGGAAAAAAUAUCCCCCAAAGUUAAGAUACGAAAUCUGGCCUAGCAACAGCAGUGCCCAAUGCCUUCAUUCCAGCUCUGUCCUCAAAGAAGAACAUUAGGUAAGAACAUUUAAUAUUAGAGACAGGUUAGGACAUGAGAUUCAUUUGAUCUUAUUUUGCAGAAAAACAGGUACCCGAGGGAUGGUGGGUAGGAAAUUACCCUAGAGAUAGAAGAAUAAAAAAAAGGAGAUAUUUGGAAGGCA
rnacentral:lncRNA from 12 species